UACGUAGGGGGCAAGCGUUGUCCGGAAUUAUUGGGCGUAAAGAGCGCGUAGGCGGUCCGAUAAGUCGGCUGUGAAAGUCAAGGGCUCAACCCUUGAAAGCCGGCCGAUACUGUCGGACUAGAGUCCGGAAGAGGCGAGUGGAAUUCCCGGUGUAGCGGUGAAAUGCGUAGAUAUUGGGAGGAACACCAGUGGCGAAGGCGGCUCACUGGACCGGUACUGACGCUGAUGCGCGAAAGCGUGGGGAGCAAACGGG
rnacentral:rRNA from 1 species